rnacentral:rRNA from 1 species
UACGUAGGGUGCAAGCGUUAAUCGGAAUUACUGGGCGUAAAGCGUGCGCAGGCGGUUAUGUAAGACAGUUGUGAAAUCCCCGGGCUCAACCUGGGAAUUGGCAUCUGUGACUGCAUAGCUAGAGUACGGUAGAGGGGGAUGGAAUUCCGCGUGUAGCAGUGAAAUGCGUAGAUAUGCGGGAGGAACACCGAUGGCGAAGGCAAUCCCCUGGACCUGUACUGACGCUCAUGACACGAA